AAUCAACGCUGGCGGCGUGCCUCAGACAUGCAAGUCGAACGCGAAAGUCCCCUUCGGGGGAUGAGUAGAGUGGCGUCCGGGUGAGUAACACGUAGGUAAUCUACCUUUGGGUGGGGAAUAACCCCGAGAAAUCGGGGCUAAUACCGCAUAAUGCAGCGGCACCACAUGGUGACAGUUGUUAAAGCGGGGGAUCGCAAGACCUCGCGCCUAAAGAGGAGCCUGCGGCGGAUUAGCAGUUGGUAGGGUAACGGCCUACCAAGGCAACGAUCCGUAGCCGGCCUGAGAGGGCGGUCGGCCACACUGACACUGAAAUACGGGUCAGACUCCUACGGGAGGCAGCAGUCGGGAAUUUUGGGCAAUGGGCGAAAGCCUGACCCAGCAACGCCGCGUGAAGGAUGAAAUCCCUCGGGAUGUAAACUUCGCAAGAACAGGAAGAAUAAGUAGGGGACAAUACCCCCUAUGAUGACGGUACUGUUUGUAAGCUCCGGCUAACUCCGUGCCAG
rnacentral:rRNA from 1 species